rnacentral:tRNA from 1 species
UCUGAGCUAAGCGGCC